UACGGAGGAUGCAAGCGUUAUCCGGAAUGAUUGGGCGUAAAGGGUCCGCAGGUGGCAAUGUGUGUCUGCUGUCAAAGAAUGAGGCUUAACCUCAUCAAGGCAGUGGAAACUACAUAGCUAGAGUACGGUCGGGGUAGAAGGAAUUCCUGGUGUAGCGGUGAAAUGCGUAGAUAUCAAGUAGAACACCAGUGGCGAAGGCGAGUCCCUGGAAAACUCCUGACACUGAGGCACGAAAGCUAGGGGAGCAAACAGG
rnacentral:rRNA from 1 species